AUGCUCACUCCAGUUGCAUGUAUACUAAAAUUGGAAUAAUACAGAGAAGAUUAGCAUGGCCCUUGUGCAAGGAUGACACGCAAAUUCGUGGAGUGUUCCAUAUAUUU